UACAGAGGGUGCGAGCGUUAAUCGGAAUUACUGGGCGUAAAGCGCACGUAGGCGGCUUGGUAUGUCGGGUGUGAAAUCCCCGGGCUCAACCUGGGAACUGCAUCCGAAACUGCCUUGCUAGAGUAUGGGAGAGGGAAGUGGAAUUUCCGGUGUAGCAGUGAAAUGCGUAGAUAUCGGAAGGAACACCAGUGGCGAAGGCGGCUUCCUGGACCAAUACUGACGCUCAGGCACGAAAGCGUGGGGAGCGAACAGG
rnacentral:rRNA from 1 species